GGAAUCUUCCACAAUGGGCGAAAGCCUGAUGGAGCGACACUGCGUGAAGGACGAAGGCCUUCGGGUUGUAAACUUCUAAAAGAGGGACGAUAAUGACGGUACCUCUUGAUUAGCACCGGCUAACUCCGUGCCAGCAGCCGCGGUAAUACGGAGGGUGCAAGCGUUAUCCGGAAUCACUGGGCGUAAAGGGCGCGUAGGCGGUCUACUAAGUCCGAUGUUAAAUACCGGGGCUCAACCCCGACAUGGAGUUGGAUACUGGCAGGCUUGACGACUGGAGAGGAAAGUGGAAUUACCAGUGUAGCGGUGGAAUGCGUAGAUACUGGUAGGAACACCCAUUGCGAAGGCAGCUUUCUGGACAGUCCGUGACGCUGAGGCGCGAAAGUGUGGGGAGCAAAC
rnacentral:rRNA from 1 species